rnacentral:rRNA from 1 species
GACGAACGCUGGCGGCGCGCCUAACACAUGCAAGUCGAACGAGCGAGAGAGAGCUUGCUUUCUCGAGCGAGUGGCGAACGGGUGAGUAACGCGUGAGGAACCUGCCUCAAAGAGGGGGACAACAGUUGGAAACGACUGCUAAUACCGCAUAAGCCCACGGUGCCGCAUGGCACAGAGGGAAAAGGAGCAAUCCGCUUUGAGAUGGCCUCGCGUCCGAUUAGCUAGUUGGUGAGGUAAUGGCCCACCAAGGCGACGAUCGGUAGCCGGACUGAGAGGUUGAACGGCCACAUUGGGACUGAGACACGGCCCAGACUCCUACGGGAGGCAGCAGUGGGGAAUAUUGCACAAUGGGGGAAACCCUGAUGCAGCGACGCCGCGUGGAGGAAGAAGGUCUUCGGAUUGUAAACUCCUGUUGUUGGUGAAGAUAAUGACGGUACCCAACAAGGAAGUGACGGCUAACUACGUA